AUAUCACAUUGAAUCACCGGUUCUCUUCCGAUCACCGAGGUAAAGCAACGCCGAGCCUGGCCAGAACCUGUACGUGUGACCUCUUGGGAAUACCAGGUGCUGUAAG